ACUUGCACUGUUCGUGUUCGCAAUUACUAACAUUUUUACUUUCGAUAUCAAAAUAUUAUUGCAACGGUUUUUUAGUGCGUUGCGAACUAAUUUUUAAUAUUUCAUGGAUUUUACUUCAACAAAUCAGUUUUUUUAACUUUAUAGGCGGCAUUUUUAGCGUCAACCGAUACUUUCGCAAAUAACGUAAGUAAAAACAUAAUCGAUAAAAUGACAAAAUAAAAGCUAUCGAAAUUUUGUAUCAACAUCGUAAUAAGGUAAAUAAAUAGACGUUCUGAUAAACUAUUAACUAAAAGUAGAAACUUAGUAAAAAAUAUAAUUCAAUGCACUAUUUCUAAGUUUAUUAAGAAGGUUUUGUGUAAAUUCCUAAGUAAAUAUUAUCACUUUCUAAAAAUAUCGAUAAUUUGGCAACUUUAA